rnacentral:lncRNA from 1 species
CCACAGCCGCAGCAUGCAAAAGUUCCCAGGGCCAAGGAUCGAACCCGCACCACUGCGGUGACCAAAACCACUGCAGUGACAACGCCACCCAGAGAUUCUCAACUCUCUUUGGGGUCUUGCUUUAAACUAAAAUGGUUUUCUGUUUAUAUUACCAAGAGUACAGUAAUAAUGCUAAGUAUCCCUACUUUUGAGGACCCACAAGGAGCCUUACAAUGUGCUAGGCACUUAAUCUCUUAUUACAUUGCAGCCAAGACAAAGACACUGAGGUGCAGAGAGAACAAGUAACUUAUUCAUGGUCACACAGGUAGUAAGCAAAACUGGGAUCCCGAACCAGUCUGUUCUAAUUCUAAAAUUGAUACGAGUUCUACUAAAGCCUGCUUGAAAGUCACUUCUGAAGUCAGGACUGAGCAGCAGAGGUGGGGCCCUGCUGAGGGGACGAGGUGGCUCCCUCUCCCCUGGGGGUUCUCUGGACUCCCCAGAGGUGAAGGCACCUCCUUCUCUCACCUGGGGGCUCACGUUCACUCCUGAACUUGAAGUCCCACCCAGUUCCUGUGUUUCUCUCCAUGGCACUUAGAGCUUCUUUGGAAGAAACAGCCCAUGCAGUGAGGGGAGAUCUGGGAGAAUAAGUGGCCAGGGGGAGGAAAUACGCUUUGAUUGUUUCCCCUGCAAAUAAUGACUUGCAUCUCUGGAUUCAUGUUCUGUAACAGCAAAUGAAAAAGAUCUGUUGCUCUAAAGAGCGGGUCACCUUGGAGUGAUCAGCAUGGCUGCCAAAAUAUAAUCCCUCCACUAACAACUAAAGGUAGCCCAGACAAGUUGGUACAGGAGAAGUUUGGCUGGUGUGCACGGCGGGAAAGGCCCUCACUUACAGCCCAGGAAGCUCAGAUGGAAAUAAAAUUGCUUGCUUUUCCUUCCACGUGUCUGACAGAUCCCCCUUCCCCCAGUUUCUACAGGCUGUAUUAUAAAGGUGUCAGACCCUGUCAGAAAUGUAAUGGCAGCCACACAUUAGCAAAUAAAUAAAAAAGAACAUUCUUUUGUCCUACCUUUGAAGUUUUGUUAAGUUACUCUGAAUAGUACCCCCCACCUCUGCCAAGUUCCCUGUUUCUUGCAUAAUGAGAUACUUUCUAAUUAGCAUAUCACAAAUAUUCCUGAUCUUCUUUACAAGUCCGGAUACAUUUUUAAAUGUUUCUUUUAAAGUACAUCAGGAUUUUUCACACUCUGGAAAGAAGCAGAAGAAUUAAAGCAAGCUGCUAAUUAACCCUGUCACUUUAGGCAAACUGCUUCACCUAUGAUGCCUCAGUUUCCUUUUCUGUAAAAAUGAAGAGGCUAGACCCAAUGGAAAGUCCCUCAUAAAACAUCGCGAUGAAUGUGAAACUCGAAUAAUUCCUUGUCUCCUUAUUCAAAAAAAAACUGGAACAAGUUCUUUGAGCUAAAAUUUCACAGUGAACUAAAUACAAAUUGGGUAUAGACAUCAAGAAAAAGGAUGCGAUUUUGAAAAUACAGAUAUUUAGGAGUUUGCUUGGUGGCUCAGCGGUAAUGAACCCAGCUCAUGUCCAUGAGGACACGGGUUCAAUCCCUGGCCUCGAUUGGUGGGUUAAGAAUCUGGCAUUGCCGUGAGCUAUGGUGCAGGUUGCAGACACGGCUCGGAUCCCGUGUUGCUGUGGCUGUAGUGUAGGCUGGCAGCAACAGCUCCAAUUGGACCCCUAGCCUGGGAAUUUCCAUAUGCUGCAGGUGAGGCCCUAAAAAUACAAAAAAAAAAAAAAGAUUUAUAAUUUUGCCUGAGUUUAAUGUAUUGACAAAUAUGUAAACACACACACACACACAUACACACACACAGACACACUCUCUCUCUCUCUAAUCUGCCUUUAUAUCAGUGAAUAAAACUGACAUGAACUAAUCCUAAUAGAAGAAAUACUGAGACAAUGAAAAUAAAAUCUUAGACAUCGUGAAGGCUUUUUAGUCUCUUGCCAGCCUAGAAAAAACAAAUCCAGGCAGUUCAAUAACAUAAUCUGGAUUGUCCAGUCACACUUGGGUUUCUGGUUUUGACUCGGAAUAUCAAAAUCAUAAAAACACAGAACUUGAUCUUAGUUUCGAUCAUGAUUUCCUGGGGAGCUAGGGCCAUGCUGGUUCUCUGUGCUUCACCAUUUAAUUAGCCUGAUCAAAACCAUCUGCUGGACGGAUUAAGGCUUCCUUGAUGAGGCCCUUCACCCCCUAGACCUGCCAUCUCUUUCUGGCCAGGGCCAUACCAACACCCACAAGCUGGCUCCCCACCUUCCUGCCAAGGACUGGAUACCGUGCCCCAUUUCCCAUGGCCCUCCCCCUGCCACCCCGUCCUCUUUGAUCACCAACAGCUCAACUUGGUAAGUGCCUGUUGCACUUCAAGAGCAGCUCUGAAGCCACUCCAUCAGAGCCCUCUGCCCCCAGCAGCGUGGUCCUGCCCUAUUGCAUCCGUGUGUUGACACAGCUGUCUCCGCUCUGACUGCGCAGGAGCUGAGGCUCGGGGAUGCCUUGUCACAUCUGCAGCCCCCGGAUCCUGCAAGGCAAUGAAGGGAAAGAGAGAAUGGACAGAGGGAGGAGCCAGGCACUAAAUGAGGUGCCAAGGAUACAUCAAUGAUCGUCCCUCCAUCAUCCCCGAGGCUCCACCUUCCUGAGAGAUGUACCAUAUAAAGUGUUCUUGUAUGAUAACCACCAAAAUCUGGUCUAAAUCAUCUUAUUCCUAAUGAGGAAAGGAAUAUACUGAAGCCUGAGAAAGUCUGAGAAAACUUCCUAUAUAAAGAGGAAGGGUGUGUGGGUGUGGGUGUGUGUGUACGCAGACAAUAGGAAGCCACUGAUGUUUUUUGCACAAAAGAACAGCAGGAAUGAAAAAAUGUUUUAAGAAGAUUAUCUAGCAGUGGUAUACAAAUGCACUGAAAUGGUGUACAGAUUAAAGUAAAAAUUAUUUCAAAUCAUUAUGCAGCCAUGAACAAUUAUUACACAUAAUUGCAUUUACAGAUGUGGGAGAGCGAACAUACAGAUGAAGUACAAAAGAAGCAGGCUACAAAACAAGGGAGAGGACAGAAUCAUCUUCUGUAAGAAAUUGUUCACAUUUUUACUUGUGGGAGUAUUUAGAUGUGUAGCUACCAGAGUAAAGUUUAGGAGAUUAAAUAUCAGAGCUGUAACAGGAAUGCUAUCUGAGUGGAGAAACGUGAUUUUUCUCUUCUUUCUGUCUCUUUGUUUAUAUCUGUAUUUUCUAAUUUUUAUUCCACCAUGAAUAUGAGCCACUUGGGUAAUUUUUGUAAAUCUCCUCCCAAGAAGUAAAGAGCCCAUUUAUUGAUAUUAAAGAGGACAGGAAGCGGUGGUGAGGAUCUGGCCGCUGGCAGUGGCAGUGAGAGUGGAAAAUAGGAAGCAGAGUUGAGAGCAAUUAUGGCGGAAGUGCUGACGGAAGCGGGUGGGUGACUGGGAGAGGAACUGAAGGGAAACCAGAAAUCUGGGUGACACCCCUGGAUUUCCAGCCUAAGUAAGCAGGCGCCAUGGCUAGAAAUGAGACGGUGUGGAUGGCACUUAGCUUGGAGGAGAUCAUUUCCUCUUAGACCUGGUGUGUUUGCGAUGGUGACAGUCAUCCAAGAGAGACUGAAGUCAAGGGAAAGGCUGGGGCUCCAGGAGGCUGUGGGUUUAGGACUCACCCUCACCCCCAGGUCAGGUCAGGUGCCCCCUGUGGGUUCCCAUGGCCUCCGUGUCCCUUCCCGAGGGAUGGCUUCCGGACCAUAGUGACAUGAAGUGUCCACAACCCUCUUCCUCCCCGGACCACAGCCUCCAGGAGGUAGGUGCCCAGCUGUCCCGUCAGCAUUCCGCUCCCAGUGCCUAGAUCAACCAACGCCCAGUGCACAGAAGGCCUAUGACGCAUGUCUGGGAAGUGGGGGACCCGAGCCCUCUGUGGUGACAGCUCAAGUCGAUGAGAGGUUGGAACACCCAAGGGGGAGAAUGAGACAAGCAGGCCUGAAACUUGGGAAACACUUCACUGAAGUGUGGGCGGGAGCAAAACAGAUGCAAAACAAGAACAAUGCAACCUUCCUGAAACCAAGGUCGGGGGAGGGUUGCAAAAUAGAAAAGAGGACAGUCAGUGACUCGGGGGUGGGGGGGGCAGCACUAGGGGAGGCAGGACUGGAAAAAAAAUUCAUCCAUUGCAAGGUUACUGAAGAUUCAGGGGAGAAUGAUCUCCAGAAGAAAAUAAAUCCAAUGGAAAGCACAACCGCAUCUUCAGCAGGGUGGGGAAGAGGUAAGAUAACAGAGCUCAAGGAGAAGCUGGGUCAGGGUAGGACCUGGGCCAGAUGCGUUAGUACCAGGAGGCAAAGCGUCCAGGCCGCAGCAGGGGCUGGCUUGCAGGGAUGACCUCGUAGGAGGCAGAAGGAUUACCGCUGAGACGGACGAGGAAAGUGCGCCGGCCCUCUCUAAAGCCCUGAACCACACAAUGUGGCUCAAUUACACAUUCGUAUUUUCACAGACCACCCUGCCAUUCACUGCAGAUCAGUCAGGGACAGGUGGCUGAGCUCGGCUGCUGCUUCAGUGAAGGCGUUUGCAGAUCCCCGGGCUGCCCUUGGCAUGAAGACUGAUCUAGGACUGGCCUGGCUGGAUCCCAGGGUGCACACUAAGGACCUUUCUGAGAAUGGUGUGUCCCUGCUGCCAGACUUUGCCAGAAUCACUCAGGGAGCCGCCACCAAGGCCAGGAAUGAGUCUCCAGAUGGGAAGCUGACUCAGAACUGACCUGCCAAGGCAGCUUCAGGCUUUGGCUCAGCCUGUCCUGCUCCCGACCCACGCUGGAGCUGCUGAGACUGGAACAGUCCCAGAACCUGUGUGAUGAACUCAGGACUCCUAUCGAUCGAGCUGGCAACUGCUAAGCAGCUAAAAUGCUAAAUGUCACUCCAGAGGGUGGCAGGAUGGAGGAGAAGGGCCUUGCCUUUGCCCUGCAUCCCCACACUUCCAGACAAAUCAUUAACAUCCCUCCACACAUCAUUCCUACCGUGCCUUCUGCUGAAUUUGACCUUGUUGCUUACAAGCAUUUUGCAAGAGAAGAGAUCAACUGUGCCCAUUUAGCACCUUUCUUCUUAAGAUUGAGGACGUUUAUGCUGACAUUUAAAAAUAUGUUCGAAACAUAUUCACAAACUUUACCAAAGAUUUUCCCACACUGAGCUAUUUUCAAAAGGGAUGCGAACGUGACCAUAAGCUUUUCUUCAGCAACGAGCUUAGAUUUCCAAGCUACACUCGCCAUCAGUUACUUUCCAGCAAGAAAAAAAUGAACACGUGGAAAUUCUACGAGUGUUUUGGGGACACUGGGGUCCAUUUAAUAUAUUGAAGCAAUAAUUUAUCAGAUAGGACCCAAGGGUCCAGAUAGCCUCUCGAGCCCUUUCACAUAUGCUAAAUUACACCCCCAAGACCAGUCUAGGAACUUAGAAUCUUCACCAUUAAUUAAAGAAAUGGAUUGGACCGUCCUAACACAAAAGAACACCCUGCAAGUAGGAAAAAUUCAUGUAAACACUGUCAUUGCAAAAUGAAUCAAACCCAACAUGUGUGAUUCAACAUAAUUGCUAACUAGCUUUCAACAGGUGUGGGACCCUUCCCUCAUUUUAAUUUAGUCAAACACUAGACUGCUCUGACAAGUUGUGACCAAAGAAAAACACUGCAGAGAAGAAUUCUUACUAAACAUUAAGAUUUUAAGGCUUGCAGGCAAAGAACAAAUCUAUCCGUGGAACAUUUCAUAUCCAGGAGACUAGUCUAAGCAUCAAAGAGCUAAGAUUUUAAUGCUGCCAAACUAGCCAGGAAUUGCCAAGUAUUAUACGAAAUUCAUAUGCGCACUAAAAAAAUGCUCCCUGUUUAUAAACAAUCUUUCAUAUGUGUUGGAAGGAAAAGCACUAAGUGACAAUUAGUUGGCUGACUUCUGCAAUCUGUCAUUAAUUGCUAUUUUCAAGUUAAAAUUAUUCCAUUCAAUGUUAUUCUCAGUGUUCUACAUCAAACCGAUUUACAAGAAAGUUGUUACUUCUCAGUGAGAUGUCAAAUAAUUUACCUGGUCCCACUGACAAAGGAUUUAACUCUUUGUAAACAUUUAAGCACUUUUUCCUUUCUCAUGUAAACAUUUUAGAUCAAUGGGCCUCUCUUAUUCACUGCUUGCUAAUUUUAAAACGUAUAUUCACUUUUUUAUUUAAAAAAAAAUAAUAAGCCCAUCUCCUCUCUUCCCAUCCUCAUCUCCAGCCACCCCCCCACCCCCCAGUGAAUCCAGUUUUUUACAGCUAGACUUUGUAGGUUUAGGUCUAAGGUCUCCGAACAAAGAUCAGCCCUGAUUAAAACACACAGGCUUGAAAACUUUUAUGUUUGGUCUCUAUACAGGUUUCAACCAUAGGGAAUGUAGCUGUAGGCUCAAAUUAUGUCAGUCAACACGAGGCAAAUAGUAAUCAAGGAUAUUUAAUGCGGGCUCAUCCAAAAGUGCCUUCUUGUGGACAACAAACAGAAAAGUACUAUAGCUAUGGGAUCUGGGACAGGGAUGAACCCAUCGAUUCACUAUUCCCCAAGCACUGAAAUGUGUUUCAUGAUGAUUUUUCCCUCAAGUUUCUGGAAAGAACACAAAAACACACUGCACAAAGAAUCUGCAAUCAGAGAGCAAUUUACAAAAAAUUCUGCACUUCCAGAGAAAUCACGCAAGUACGGAGGCCCGGUAUAAUAAAGGUUUAUGGCAAUAGUAGCUCCCACCUGAAACACACAAAUAACUCCUCCUGAUAUUCCAGGUUUUAGACAAAUGAACUAUCAGUGACCAGGGGAAAAAAAAAAAAAAAAAACUCAGAUUUUACGAAGCAGUGUAUUUAAAAAUUCAGACCAGUUUCUGAGUUUCUUCCAUCUAACAACAUACCCCAGAGUUUAAUAUACUUACUCUCCGGUCUGGGUCCUGGCUUUCUGGUUUUGCAUGGGGUCUGUAGAAUGUACAGAUGGUAAUAAUCUGUGGCUUCCUUCAAAUCUUGACGACUGCUGCUUUUAUUCUCUUGAUUUCCUUUGGUGCCAAAGAUGUCGUUCUAGUGCAGAGUUACCACAUGUUACGUGAAACUGCUGUCAACGUUUUAUUACAUUCAGCAUUUCAGGUUUCCUGAUAGCUAACUCCAGCAUUAAAGAUAGCCAUGCUCUGUAUAUUGUUCAAUCCUCUUUCUCUUUUUUUCCCCCUCCCUGGAAGGGUACUUGGGCACUCCUUAAGUAGCCCGGAGAUUUCAAACUGUAUGUUUCCAGACCACAUUAAAAUAAAUACUAAUGCAAGUCAUUUCUACCUUCAGACAUUUCUUUCCAUCCCGGCUUGCUCCGGCAGCAUUAAUUUUCCCACACUCUCCUAGGAUGGUGAAGGCUUGUCUGGACAAGUAAGAUAACACUUGGGCAGGAGAUUAAAAGCCCACACUGAAGUCAUUAAGUACCUACAGGGCUGGGCCCUGAAUCCACUCAGCACGGUCUCCGAACACCGU